AGCUUUCUGAAUCCGUGCCGAGAUUUCGUCAAAUACUAACCCAUCAAGGUUGAUCAGACUUUCAAGAUAAGCGAAGUG
rfam:Schistosoma curassoni strain Dakar, Senegal genome assembly, scaffold: SCTD_scaffold0002175